rnacentral:rRNA from 1 species
AUUGAACGCUGGCGGCAGGCCUAACACAUGCAAGUCGAACGAGUGGCGGACGGGUGAGUAAUGUCUGGGAAACUGCCUGAUGGAGGGGGAUAACUACUGGAAACGGUAGCUAAUACCGCAUACCAUCAGAUGUGCCCAGAUGGGAUUAGCUAGUUGGUGGGGUAACGGCUCACAAAGGCGACGAUCCCUAGCUGGUCUGAGAGGAUGACCAGCCACACUGGAACUGAGACACGGUCCAGAUGCCUACGGGAGGCAGCAGGGGGGUAUAGUGCAAAAGGGGCGGAAGCCUGAUGCAGCCAUGCCGGGUUUAUGAAGAAGGCCUUCGGGUUGUAAAGUACUUUCAGCGGGGAGGGGUUACCCGCAGAAGAAGCACCGGUGAACUCCGUGCCAGCAGCCGCGGGAAUA